rnacentral:rRNA from 1 species
GUGGGGAAUAUUGGACAAUGGGCGAAAGCCUGAUCCAGCAAUGCCGCGUGAGUGAAGAAGGCCUUAGGGUUGUAAAGCUCUUUUACCCGGGAUGAUAAUGACAGUACCGGGAGAAUAAGCUCCGGCUAACUCCGUGCCAGCAGCCGCGGUAAUACGGAGGGAGCUAGCGUUGUUCGGAAUCACUGGGCGUAAAGCGCACGUAGGCGGCUUUGUAAGUUAGAGGUGAAAGCCCGGGGCUCAACUCCGGAACUGCCUUUAAGACUGCAUCGCUUGAAUCUGGGAGAGGUGAGUGGAAUUCCGAGUGUAGAGGUGAAAUUCGUAGAUAUUCGGAAGAACACCAGUGGCGAAGGCGGCUCACUGGACCAGAAUUGACGCUGAGGUGCGAAAGCGUGGGGAGCAAACAGGAUUAGAUACCCUAGUAGUCC